GUAUCUGGUGGUUUAAUUCACCAAAAAAAGUAUAAUUUGUUUGGGAGAUUGGUUUAGUUAGAAGUACUAAAGUGCUUUGUCAGAUAGAUUUAUGUAGAAAUGCUAAAUUGUAAAUUGUUCCAAUUCUAUCUUCUGCUUUUCAAUGUAAUCUCCUCAGGAUCUUGUGGAAUUUUACCACUUGUAGUGUGGGUUGUUGUUACCAGGGCCUGCUUAAUCUUCGUGGAAUGCAUGACACAGAAUCCAAGCCCGUCUUGCUAUGCACAUGCAGUGACAAUUCUGUCCGGCUCUAUGAUUUGCCCUCGUUUUCGGAGAGGGGUAAAAUUUUUGCUAAGCAGGAGAUUCGUGCUAUUGAGGUAGGCCCUGGUGGCCUGUUUUUCACUGGCGAUGGAGCUGGUUAUAGAGUAUGGAAGUGGGCACAGCCAAUUGCCACGUCCUGAUGUGUCGUGUGAUUUCUUAUAACAUAUUCAUCAUUAUGUAUUUUUUAUGUUAAUUAUUUGAUUUUUUUUUUAUCCUUAUGGGAAGGCCUUUUGUAGUUUGUAAGUUUGUGGGAGAAAUUAGGGAUUAGAGAAAACAAUUUUGGGUUGCUGGUGGAAUGUUUUGCAGCACCAAGCCCGUCAGCUUAGUGUGUGCCGUAAUAACUCAUAAAUCGUAGUGGUCUGACGUUGGGAAUUUAGUAUUCAAUGUGCCAAGUUGAAGUGAUAUCUUGAUUUC